rnacentral:lncRNA from 1 species
CUUCCCAGUCUCAGAACAGAGCAUCUCAUUGGUCGAGCCUGUCAUUUACCUGCCCCCUGGAUUCAAGGUAAUCUGGGAAUGGAGUCUUCUAACUUCUUUACUGGAAGUGAAACGCAUAUGUUGGGAAAUUACCAAAGUAUAUGACAAGUCUACAAAUGGCCUGAGGUAAAGAUGUACACUCUUUUAUAAGCCUUAACAAAUGUGUGGCAAGAUGAUCAGGGAUUUAGAACAAGACACAUUAAGGGACUAAUUCCAAGGAAGUUGAGGAAUGAAAUUAUAUUAAAGGGCUUGUUUCUGUCUCUUCUAGAGAUAUGUCUGGGAACCAAGGUACGGACUGGUAGUGGCUUUUGCAGAAUACUUGUUUUCCAUCCUCAGCAAUAGGAGUUGUUUUCAUUUAGACCUUUUAGGAUCCAGGAAAGAAGUAUAUUUUCAUUAACGUGCUUAAGAAUAGUUUCACUGAAUUGGAAGCUGAGAGUAUUAUCUGGCCAUUUGGAGAUUGCCACAUCCAGGCCUCUGGGAUAACACAGCCAAACUGUCAAGAAACAAUACAUUUACUGAUAUACUUUGGGGACAGGAGGAUGAAUGCAACUAAAUGGAUCUCAUGGAGCCCCUCCAUGUCCCACAAUGCAGUCUUCACAUUUCAUGGAAGGAGAAUGUUACCCUCCCACCACGUUCAAGUGGAACCAUCUAUGGAUCAGAUUCCUCAAUUUGUGAAAUUAAGACCACACAACUGGAUCCUCAAAACAAUCGGACUUUUCAAUGGCAAAAUGUGACUUCUUUCCGAAAUAUUACCCAACGCUCGUUCCAACUGAUUUCAGAACCAAUGUUUGGAGAUUUACUGGAUUGUUGUAGAAAAAGAAACUCAAGGAAGACAGUGACACACCAAUUUGCUGUUAAAAGAUAUGUGCUGCCCAAGUUUGAAGUUACGGUCAAUGCACCACAAACAGUAACUAUUUCAGAUGAUGAAUUCCAAGUGGAUGUAUGUGCUAAGUGAGUAUUUAUUCAGGAGAUUUACCUUCACAAGAAAACACAAAGCUCAGAGAGAAUGAGAAGUGAGAUUAACCAUGAAACCGUAAUUAUUUAUAUGCUUACAUUAAUGUUAUUAGAGAAGCAAUGAAUCCUCAUUGUAGAAAAUUUGAAAAAUAUAGAGAAAAACACAAGACAUUACCUAUUAUUAAUUUGACCAACUGCCAUUAACAUUGUAAUGUCACUAACAUUCUAAGUUUCCUCUAAUUUUAACGAAUAUUUUCCAUGACUGCAAUCAUACUUUUCUAUUUAUAAUAAUUAAGAAAACAUGCCUUCAUAUUAUGCCAAUCUUUUCAUGAAUUCCAAUUUUCUGCUGCACAUAUUUUUAUGUGACUAUACCAAAUUUAAUUAUUAUAUAAUAUGUCGGCUGUUUCAUUUUGUUUUCCUGGUAAUUAAUAAUUUUGCAGUAUAUGUCUUUGUGUAUAACAUAUAAUAGGUAGCUUUUGAAUGAAAAAUUAUUUACUUAAGAAAGAUUUCCAGACAAGGAAUUACCAAGACAAAAUAUGUAACAUUCUUUUAGUCUUCUGAUUGCCAUACUCCUCACUAAACAUGUUGUGCCAGUGUAGGAUUCUAGCAGCUGGUGUGAAAUUCUCAUUGAAUCUUUACUAUCAUGGCAUAUUUUCAUUAAAAUUAGAAUAUGAGCUAUUGAAAUGGCAAAGUGAAGAUAAAGCAUCUUAUCAAGUUAAUCUGAAUUAUUUGAAUUCUCUUAAUGUAAAAAAACUACACGAUUUCAGAAAUUUGUAUUUUGUUUUUGGAAAAUUAUUUUUAUUUUUAUUUUCUUUUUUAGUGCCUUUUCUCAAAUUUCUAAUAAUAAUUUAUAAACAAUUGGCCAGGCACGGUGGCUCACACCAGUAAUGCCAGCAUUUUGGGAGGCCAAGGUGGGGGGGGAUCAUCCGAGGUCAGGAGAUCGAGACCAGCCUGGCUAACGUAGCGAAACCCCGUCUCUACUAAAAAUACAAAAAAUUAGACGGGCAGGGUGGCAGGCACCUGUAAUCUCAGCUACUCGGGAGGCUGAGGCA